UUUGAAACAGAGAACUGCACAUUAUGACUAUCAAAAAAAUUAGUGGACAUGAAAGCAGUAUAAAUACUUGCACCGAACUGUAUGAUUUGUUGAGCCAAGUGUCGAGUCUGAUAUGGCAUCUUUAUGCUUUCAGAGAAGCGCAUCUCUGAAAUUCACAGUUUUGAACCAAAAGAGACACAUCUAGAAAAUGAUUACAUGAGUGGUUCCAGUGUCAUGUACGUCAACAUGGUUGGAGAUUUGGGAUCGGAUGCUGCGCCAAGAGCGAGGGACCAAGGUGCUGAACUAACAGCAGGGGGAGGGUGAUUCUUCAGGGAGCUGCACAAAUUUGGAACAACUUCCAGAACAGGCAUCCAAGCAUUUUGGUCUGCUACCAGUAAGCUGCCAGAGCAAGAUAGCUGGGAGUCUGGGAUGUCGAGUCGUCGAGCCGGCCAAUGCCAAGUUCGCCGGCGGAAGGAGAACAUCUGUCAAGCCGUCCGUCGC